CAGGAAUUAGUUUAAUAAAAACACUUAACUUCGACUUAAAUAAUUUUGGUUUAUAACCCAAAAUUCCUAU
rnacentral:tRNA from 1 species